rnacentral:rRNA from 1 species
AUACGGCUCAGUAACACGUAGUCAACAUGCCCAGGGGACGUGGAUAACCUCGGGAAACUGAGGAUAAACCGCGAUAGGUCACUACUUCUGGAAUGGGUAAUGACCCAAACCUAUAUGGCCCCUGGAUUGGACUGCGGCCGAUCAGGCUGUUGGUGAGGUAAUGGCCCACCAAACCUGUAACCGGUACGGGCUCUGAGAGGAGGAGCCCGGAGAUGGGCACUGAGACAAGGGCCCAGGCCCUAUGGGGCGCAGCAGGCGCGAAACCUCUGCAAUAGGCGAAAGCUUGACAGGGUUACUCUGAGUGAUUUCCGUUAAGGAGAUCUUUUGGCACCUCUAAAAAUGGUGCAGAAUAAGGGGUGGGCAAGUCUGGUGUCAGCCGCCGCGGUAAUACCAGCACCCCGAGUGGUCGGGACGUUUAUUGGGCCUAAAGCAUCCGUAGCCGGUUCUACAAGUCUUCCGUUAAAUCCACCUGCUCAACAGAUGGGCUGCGGAAGAUACUAUGGAGCUAGGAGGCGGGAGAGGCAAGCGGUACUCGAUGGGUAGGGGUAAAAUCCGUUGAUCCAUUGAAGACCACCAGUGGCGAAGGCGGCUUGCCAGAACGCGCUCGACGGUGAGGGAUGAAAGCUGGGGGAGCAAACCGGAUUAGAUACCCGGGUAGUCCC